CUUGCUGCUGGAAAACAUUCUGUGGGAAUUAUAUGGAGGUGAAGCGGUCUAGCUGUGAGCUGGCUGAAAGCUGGAGUUAGCUCAAAACAGUUCUGAAAGAGCGAUACUCUUGCGAAGAUAUAAAGCCCAAGCCUGGCUCUUGACAUGGCAACAACUAAUCGUCGGACAUCUCUAAGGUGGCCUACAGCUUUGGUACGCACUAGUGAAAGGAGAAUAUAAUCAUUUUGUUGACCUUGAAAUCUGUCCACAGUUGUUACCUUGUUUGGCCGUCCAAUCAAUGGAUUAUUCCCACAGCGCUGGUUAAUGACAUCUCGGAUCAGAUGUUUCUGUCCAUUGUACGUUGUCAGGAUACUUAUCCUGUCUGCAGGAUAACCAAGCAGGCACAUAUACAUGAAAACUGCCACAACGUAUUCUGCUUCACCAAGAUUCUGAUAGAAAUAAGGAUUGGGUUCAGACUCUCCCACACCAUUGAAGUCUUCUACGUUUAUAAGUUGGAAGUCAUAUAAAAACCCAG
rnacentral:lncRNA from 1 species